GAAAUCCUUCGCCCAUGCGGCUUCUUCUCUCUCUGUCCAUCUCCCGCACCGUCUCGAAACAGAUUCCCGUGGUGGCCGGUCUCCUUUUUCCUCCAUCCACAGAUCCACUGCUCCCGGCGGAUACACCCGCGGAUUUCUGCCGAUUCUCGCGACAGCCAUCGCUGUUCAGCCGGCUAGAGCAGCGGCCUCCCCCCUACCCGGCCAUGGAGCUCGACGAGGCCGACAUCACAUGGGGCAAGGAGGCCCGGUGGUGUCCUGCUCGGUUGACAUGUGCGGAUGCGCUCUGUCUGCGUCCAAAGCCUCUAAGCCGCGCGUCGUGGGAGGCCGCCUGUGGCCUCCAAUGAAUAUCCCGGAUUGGUCCAAGAUCCUUGUGCGAAGUACGGCGGGGGCAGCGCCGGUGAAGGGCGGCGGCUGUCGGAGGGCCACGAGGACGCGUACGUAGAUCACGGCUAGGGUAGGUGGGUGCUCCCGCAGGAGCAGCUCAUGUGCCGGGAGCGCCGCGACGUCCUUCUCCGUGCGCGAGGGUGCUGAGUCCUUCUUCUCACACCAGUGCUCCGCGGCGGCGCGACGUCCUUCUCCGAACGAGCAGCUGAGCUGCGGUGCCGCCCCUUAUCCUCCCGGUUCCCUAUCUUUCGUAGCACCGCUUAGUUGACCCAGCGCCGCUUGCCGUUUCCUUGAUGUGGAAUACGGGAGAUCCGGCGGGCGGCCGAUGAUGAUGAACAGAUGCAAUUUUCUAGGAAGAAGAGGAGUCGACGGCAUAGAUCAUACGCUGAACUCACCUCCUGCUCUGAACCGGUGAACUACAACUGCAGAAGCAUGAAAACGCAGGCCAGCAGCUACCAGAGGUCGAAGAAUCCAAUAAGCCACAAAGUGCAGAUUCUGACUAUGCAUACGGCCAAGUUACAUGUGGGUCGUCUGACCAAAGUGGGAGACUCAGCAAAAAAGAGAAAGGAAUACCAUUGCGAGAUGAAGAUGAGGGCAGCAGUGGUCAAGACAACGAUGACCCUUUAGCUCCAAAGAGGCCAAGAGUUGCUGUUGUCAACCAUCUUGGAAUUGAAAAGCUAUGCCAAAAAGAAUACUUGAGCUCAUGAAUGUUGAGAAAUUCACUAGGGAAAAUGUUGCAGGUCACCUACAGGCA